rnacentral:rRNA from 1 species
UGCGUAGGUGGCGUGGCAAGUCUGAUGUGAAAUCCCGGGGCUCAACCCCGGAACUGCAUUGGAUACUGCCAUGCUUGAGCACUGGAGAGGAGACUGGAAUUUACGGUGUAGCAGUGAAAUGCGUAGAUAUCGUAAGGAAGACCAGUGGCGAAGGCAAGUCUCUGGACAGUUGCUGACACUGAGGCACGAAGGCUAGGGGAGCAAACG